CAGCGGCUACGGAGGGCAAACAGAGGCUGUGGCUCCCCGUCGGUGGCGGGUGGUGGCGCAGACGCAAUUUGGGGCUGCCCCGGGGCAAUAGGUGGCUGCAGCGCUGGUCAGCAGCGGGGUGCAGUGCAGAGGCGAUUUGCGCCGGCCUAGAGCAACCAGCAGUGGCGGCGUGGGGAGGGGGCGAGGAAAUCAGAGGGGUAGCAUGCGCAGCAAUGAGUGGGUCACAGGCUUGAGAUCGGAGGAGGAGAAGCAUCAGCUGAAGAGGCUCUGCAACCUCUCCUUGGCACAAUGAUAGGCCAACAAGUAACUAGGCUUUCAUGGAGCAGAAGUCCAGCCAAUAAACAGGUACAAGUCUUGUGAGAUCCAUUCGUGCAAUUGCGGACAUGGAGAACCCUAAGUGAACAAGGCGAUUGUUGAAAGACUUUUAUGUUUCUUGUAGUAUUAAAUCAAAGUUCUUAGCCAAUCAAGGAAUUGUUUUGUAGAUUUCAAAGGUAUGAGAAGAUGUACUGCCCAUUGAGUGUUCUACAUAGACCUCUUUACCAAUUGCCGUCGAAUUGCUAUAGGACCACCCUAUAUGUCCUGUGACCUGCCUACAGAAAUAGCUUAUGUGACCUGUAUCUGUAUGUAACG